ensembl:lncRNA
CGGCCCUUGAGGCCUGGAGUUGGAGACCCCUGCUCUAAAGUAAAGAGGGAAGGAAAUACUUGUUUUCACUCCAAGCUAAUGCAACUGGAGGAAAGCCAAAUUCUUCAGAGAGGCCAGAUAUGAGUUACUUUGCAUUCCAGUCUGUUUUGAGGUGGACAGGUGGGUGGAGGCACGUGACUCUUCUGCUGACAGAUCACAACAAGAUGUGAGAAAAAUUCGGCGUGAUCAAGAAAAACUAUCAAAAGAUCCCAGUGAGAAUUUUUUGAAAAACACCAGAAAUAAGCAAAACUGGGACAGAGUGGGGUCUGUAUUAACCCCGCCCCUCUUAUUUUGGCCUGGAAUAGAACAGGUGGAGGAAGGAGGGGGCAGUUUGCAGCAGGAGACCAGAGAAAGAAAUGAAGGAAACGGGAAGGAAAUGACGAAGGCUUGCUCUCUGAAACAGCUAAGCUGCCACUCUCUCUUUAUCAUCCUGUAUGGAAACCUGGAAAAACACACAAACACAUAGGGUGUUGUUGUUGACUGCCAUACAAAACACAGGAUCUCAGGCACAGGAUGAUAAACAAAGAACAUGGAGAGCAAAUAGAAUUGAAGAGGACACAAUCAAAGAGACAACAGGAAAAAAAGGCAGACUGUUGUGCCGAUGGAUUACAAGUGGGGGAAAAAAAGAGUCACAAAGAAAUGGCAAAACAAAGAAGAAAGUUAAACACCAGAAAUGGUAAAUAACUGUUUUUGAUACUUGUAUUUUCUACGCACAAAACCCACAGCAGCUGAUCACUUCAAUAAUUUCGUCUUUCUUUUAUUCAGAACUCAUUUUGUCAAAGUCUGCAUCUCAUUUUUCAAACAGCUGUCACCUCCUUCUGCAAGCAACCGUAGGAAGCCAGUUAUUCCACACUGAUAACCCGGAGGCCAGCAAGCACGACUGGCGACAUAAAUAUGGCUGUCGCCGUCACAACACGACAGGCUGGGAUCAAACAGCACCCGGAGAUGUUUCCUAUUGUUUGCCCGAACAGGCCUGCAGCCCGAGAUCAACAGUUAGAAUUUCUCGUUGACCUUCGUGAUCGAGAGAAGGAUGAUUCAUCUGCAGAAGCCGACACAAAAACAAGACAGGAAUGCUACAGGAAGGGCAAAGGUCACUGCAAGAAUGCCACUGGCUUGUUUGUUAUCAUACUUUUGCAUAAAUGUGCUUUACACAACGUUUCUUAAGCAAACACACACACUUGACGGUUUCUGAAAUUGGAAUAAUCUCAUUACUUUAUAUGUGUUUAAGGUGUGUUAGAUCCUGUACAUAAAAUGUUGAACUGUUACCCAAGGGUUUGUAAAGCCUUUCAGCUUAAUGACUGCUUUAACGUACUUAGCAGGAG